rnacentral:rRNA from 1 species
AGAGUUUGAUCCUGGCUCAGAUUGAACGCUGGCGGCAUGCUUAAUACAUGCAAGUCGAACGGUAACAGAUUCUUCGGAAUGCUGACGGGUGGCGGACGGGUGAGUAAUACAUAGGAAUCUGCCCAUGUAGUGGGGGACAACUUGGGGAAACUCAAGCUAAUACCGCAUAAUUCCUACGGGAUAAAGAGGGCCACUGCUUGCAAGCUCUUGCUACUGGAUGAGCCUAUGUCGGAUUAGUUAGUUGGUAAGGUAAUGGCUUACCAAGACAGCGAUCCGUAGCUGGUUUGAGAGGAUGAUCAGCCACACUGGGACUGAGACACGGCCCAGACUCCUACGGGAGGCAGCAGUAGGGAGUAUUGGACAAUGGGCGCAAGCCUGAUCCAGCAAUGCCGCGUGUGUGAAGAAGGCCUGCGGGUUGUAAAGCACUUUCAAUUGGGAAGAAAGAUUAUGAGUUAAUACCUUAUAAUAUUGACGU